rnacentral:rRNA from 1 species
GAACCUGCGGAGGGAUCAUUACCGAGUUUACAACUCCCAAACCCCUGUGAACAUACCUAUAAUUUGCCUCGGCGGACUCAACGACGGUGCUCCGAGAAAUCGGGCGCCGCUCGCUGCCAGAGGAACCCCAAACUCUAUGUAUUCUUGUGGAUCUUCUGAGUAAAACAAAACAAAUAAAUCAAAACUUUCAACAACGGAUCUCUUGGUUCUGGCAUCGAUGAAGAACGCAGCGAAAUGCGAUAAGUAAUGUGAAUUGCAGAAUUCAGUGAAUCAUCGAAUCUUUGAACGCACAUUGCGCCCGCCAGUAUUCUGGCGGGCAUGCCUGUUCGAGCGUCAUUUCAACCCUCAAGCCCCCGGGCUUGGUGUUGGGGAUCGGCGAUAGUCGCCGUCCCCCAAAUCUAGUGGCGGUCUCGCUGUAGCCUCCAUUGCGUAGUAGCUAACACCUCGCAACUGGAACGCGGCGCGGCCAAGCCGUUAAACCCCCAACUUCUGAAUGUUGACCUCGGAUCAGGUAGGAAUACCCGCUGAACUUAAGCAUAUCAAUAA